rnacentral:rRNA from 1 species
UACGGGGGGGGGCAAGCGUUGUUCGGAAUUACUGGGCGUAAAGGGCUCGUAGGCGGCCAACUAAGUCCGACGUGAAAUCCCAAGGCUUAACCUUGGAACUGCGUCUGAUACUGGAUGGCUUGAAUUCGGGAGAGGGAUGCAGAAUUCCAGGUGUAGCGGUGAAAUGCGUAGAUAUCUGGAGGAAUACCGGUGGCGAAGGCGGCAUCCUGGACCGAGAUUGACACUGAUGAGCGAAAGCUAGGGGAGCAAACGGG